rnacentral:rRNA from 1 species
AGAGUUUGAUCCUGGCUCAGGAUAACCUUUGGCGGCGUGCCUAAUACAUGCAAGUCGAUCGAUAGAAGUCCAGCUUGCUGGACGGAAAUAGAGGCGAACGGGUGAGUAAUACGUAAGCAACCUGCCCACGAAGACUGGGAUAAUCCCUGGAAACGGGGACUAAGACCGGAUAGGUACAGAGAUCGCAUGAUCUUUGUAUUAAAGGUGAGAGACACUGGUGGAUGGGCUUACGGUGCAUUAGCUGGAUGGUGAGGUAACGGCCCACCAUGGCGAUGAUGCAUAGCCGGGCUGAGAGGCUGAACGGCCACAUUGGGACUGAGACACGGCCCAGACUCCUACGGGAGGCAGCAGUAGGGAAUUUUCGGCAAUGGGGGAAACCCUGACCGAGCAACGCCGCGUGAGUGAUGAAGGUCUUCGGAUUGUAAAGCUCUGUUGUAAGGGAAGAACGGCAUCUAUAGAAUAGGUGAGUGACGGUACCUUACCAGAAAGCUACGGCUAACUACGUGCCAGCAGCCGCGGUAAUACGUAGGUAGCGAGCGUUAUCCGGAAUUAUUGGGCGUAAAGGGUGCGUAGGCGGCCUGUUAAGUUUAUGGUGAAUAGCGUGGGGCUCAACCCCAUAAAGCCAUAGAUACUGGCAGGCUAGAGUACUGGAGAGGGUAGUGGAAUUCCAUGUGUAGCGGUAAAAUGCGUAGAUAUAUGGAGGAACACCGGUGGCGAAGGCGGCUACCUAGACAGAGACUGACGCUGAGGCACGAAAGCGUGGGGAGCAAAUAGGAUUAGAUACCCUAGUAGUCCACGCUGUAAACGAUGAAUGCUAGGUAUCGGGGCGGCCCGGGGCCGAAACUAACGCGGAUAAGCAUUCCGCCUGGGGAGUAUGCAGGCGAGUGUGAAACAUAAAGGAAUUGACGGGGGCCCGCACAAGCGGUGGAGUAGGUGGUUUAAUUCGACGCAACGGGAAGAACCUUACCAGGCCUUGACAUCCCUUGCGAAAUCCUGGAGACAGGAGGGAGGCUAUCAAGGAGACAGGUGGUGCAUGGUUGUCGUCAGCUCGUGUCGUGAGAUGUUGGGUUAAGUCCCGCAACGAGCGCAACCCUUGUCUUUAGUUACUAACAUCAAGUUGAGGACUCUAGAGAGACUGCCGGUGAUAAACCGGAGGAAGGUGGGGAGGACGUCAAAUCAUCAUGCCCCUUAUGGCCUGGGCUACACACGUACUACAAUGGCUGUUACAACGUGCAGGGACAGCGCAAGCUGAAGCGAAUCACUGAAAGACAGUCUCAGUUCGGAUUGAGGUCUGCAACCCGACCUCAUGAAGUUGGAAUCGCUAGUAAUCGCGGAUCAGCAUGCCGCGGGGAAUACGUUCUCGGGCCUUGUACACAACGCCCGUCA